CAGCCUCUGUGGCAGGCAGGACUGCUCAUUGUGUGGCAUUAGGCAAUAGCUGGAGAGGGCCAUGUUCCAUUUAGAUUGCCAGAAGAAAGGAGCUACCUGAACAGGAAAGGUUUCCAUGUGGCCACAGCAGUGGCCUCAGAGAACCAGACAGGAGUGAUAGGAUACUAUACCCUGUUCGCUUCAGGGAGUCUUUCACAGGGCAGACUUAGACCACACAGACACAGCCAGUGUGAGAAGAGGAGUCUCCCAACAGGCAAGUGUGGAGAUGAUGGCGUCAUGAACCAAAGGAGCCUGGGUCUCUAGUCAGCAGAUGGAAGAGGCCACCUACACAUCAAUUCAGACUUCAUGCCCAUCCACCAAGAUUUCAGGUGUGUGUUAUGACAGCUGGGACAAUUACACUAACAAAUAAAUAUGACACUGUGACCAAA